AAGUCUUGGCUCUGUUUUUCCUGGUUUCCCGAGGUUGCAGCAAUAACUGGUGAUGGAAAGUGUCUUUGGCCAGGAAGGAGAGCUGCUGACCCCAGCAGGAGGCUGGGAGAGGGAAAUCUGCCUCACAAACGCUUGAGAGGAUCAGUGGAUGGAAGUACAGUGGAAAUCCUGCGGUUUGGAUGUGUUUGUGUGGCCUGUGAGUGGCACCUCGUGCUGACAGGGACAGAGCUGCUGAUCUGUUGGAUGUCUGGAGUUGGUCUUCCGUGAUCCCUGGGGGUUCCUCCCAGCUCAGGAUAUUCCAUGAUUCCAUGACCCAGCUGUAGCUGCUGGAGACUUACUCUCUUUCUCAGUGUUAAUUUUUCAGUCUGCUCCCUAGAAAUCCCCAGCUGUGCAUUUUAAGGGAUUAAACCUGCUUUGCAUCUGUUUAUUCUGCAGUUGAUGUCUCUAAAUUGAGCCUAAAUCUAAAAUAAUUCCUAGAAAUGAAAUCUUAAUCUUUCUAACACAGUGAUGGAGAUUAAUAAUCACGGUUGGGGUUUCACUUUAAAGACUUUAAAUUUGUUUGGGGAAAUCUUGGAGGCACGAAGCGAGUGUCUUCCUUUUGUUACUUCCAUCUUGGAGGUUUGAGCUGUACCUAAUUAAUUGAUAACAUCUGGAGGAAGGGUAGACAUUUGCAUAGCUCUUGAAUCCCUGUGCUAAAGCAGCCCCAGCUGCCUCACCUUCCGGAGAACCUUGGACAGCCUUGUGGAAGCCUCUUCCCUGGCAGGGUGGGCAGGCCCUGGCACAGGGUGCCCAGAUAAGCUGUGGCUGCCCCUGGAUCCCUGGCAGUGCCCAAGGCCAGGCUGGAUGGGACUUGGAACCACCUGGAAUGGCAGGGUAGACUUUUAAGUUCCCUUUUAACCCAGACCAUUCCAUGAGUUAUUCAAUAAUGCAAACCCCAUGGUAUUUUUGAGUCCACACCCAAAGCACUGUUUAUCCCACAUCUCUGGUGGGAUGGCAGAGCUGUGGUGCAGCUGGUGUCAGGUUGGUC
rnacentral:lncRNA from 1 species